rnacentral:lncRNA from 1 species
UUCGCCCUUUUCGCUUUACGCUGCCACAUUUGGUUUUACUUUCGCUUUUACAUCCGCUUUAGUUUCACUUUCACUUCCUGUUUCGCUUUCACUUCCUGUUUUGCAUCCACUUCCUGUUUCGCAUCCACUUCCUGUUUCCCAUCCACUUCCGGUUUCACUUUCGCUUUCAGGCCCCACAUCUUCACCAACAUCAAACUAAUUUGGGGCCCUGGCGCCUCCUUCACCUCCACAGAGCCACUUUCACUUUCACUUCCUGUUUCACACUCACUUCCUGUUUCACACUCACUUCCUGUUUUGCAUCCACUUCCUGUUUCGCAUUCACUUCCUGUUUCACAUUCACUUCCUGCUUUACUUUCACUUUCAAUUUCAGGCUCUCAUCAUCCCUGACAUCAAACAACUUUGGGGCCUCGGUGCCUCCUUCCUCACCCCCACAGAGCCCACUUUCACUUUCACACUCACUUCCUGUUUCACACUUCCUGUUUCCACACUCACUUCCUGUUUCACGCCCACUUCCUGUUUCACAUUCACUUCCGGUUUCACUUCUGCUUUCAGGCCCUCAUCUUCACCAACAGUGAACGCAUUUGGGGCCUCGGUGCCUCCUUCCUCACCCCCACAGAGCCACUUUCACUUUCACUUCCUGUUUCACACUCACUUCCUCUUCCACACUCACUUCCUAUUUCACAUUCACUUUUGGUUUCACUUUUGGUUUCACUUUCGGCUUCACUUUCAGGCCCUCAUCAUCACCAACAACUUUCGAGCCUCGGUGCCUCCUUCUUCACCCCCAUGCAGCCACUUUCACUUUCAUUUCCUGUUUCACAUUCACUUCCUGUUUCACAUCCACUUCCUGCUUCACAUCCACUUCCUGUUUCACAUCCACUUCCUGUUUCGCUUUCAGUUUCAGGAUUUUGUCACCGACAGCAAACAGAUUUUGGGUCUCGGCGCCUCCUUCCUCACCCCUACACAGCCCCACUUUCACUUUCACUUUCACUUUCACACUUACUUUCGCUUUCACACUUACUUUCGCUUUCACUUUCACACUUACCUUCGCUUUCACUUUCAGG